AACGAACGCUGGCGGCAUGCCUAACACAUGCAAGUCGAACGAGACCUUCGGGUCUAGUGGCGCACGGGUGCGUAACGCGUGGGAACCUUCCCUUAGGUUCGGAAUAACUCCCCGAAAGGGGUGCUAAUACCGGAUAAUGUCUUCUGACCAAAGAUUUAUCGCCUUUGGAUGGGCCCGCGUUGGAUUAGCUAGUUGGUAGGGUAAAAGCCUACCAAGGCGACGAUCCAUAGCUGGUCUGAGAGGAUGAUCAGCCACACUGGGACUGAGACACGGCCCAGAAUCCUACGGGAGGCAGGAGUGGGGAAUAUAGGAAAAUGGGCGAAAGGCUGAACCAGCAAUGCCGCGUGAGUGAUGAAGGCCUUAGGGUAGUAAAGCUCUUUUACACGGGAUGAUAAUGACAGUACCGGGAGAAUAAGCACCGGCUAACUCCGUG
rnacentral:rRNA from 1 species